GCAUCCUGCAUCGCACCAUGCCGCGUGAGUGAUGAAGGCCUUAGGGUCGUAAAGCUCUUUCGCCUGUGAUGAUAAUGACAGUAGCAGGUAAAGAAACCCCGGCUAACUCCGUGCCAGCAGCCGCGGUAAUACGGAGGGGGUUAGCGUUGUUCGGAAUUACUGGGCGUAAAGCGCGCGUAGGCGGAUUGGAAAGUUGGGGGUGAAAUCCCGGGGCUCAACCCCGGAACUGCCUUUAAAACUGCCAGUCUAGAGUUCGAGAGAGGUGAGUGGAAUUCCGAGUGUAGAGGUGAAAUUCGUAGAUAUUUGGAGGAACACCAGUGGCGAAGGCGGCUCACUGGCUCGAUACUGACGCUGAGGUGCGAAAGUGUGGGGAGCAAACAGGAUUAGAUACCCUGGUAGUCCACACCGUAAACGAUGAAUGCCAGUCGUCGGAUAGUAUACUAUUCGGUGACACACCUAACGGAUUAAGCAUUCCGCCUGGGGAGUACGGUCGCAAGAUUAAAACUCAAAGGAAUUGACGGAUCCU
rnacentral:rRNA from 1 species